rfam:Thermomonospora curvata DSM 43183, complete genome.
GCGGACGAGCGCGGGAGCCUGGCGAACCGGGCUGAGAGUGCGGCUGAGACGGCCGCUGACCGCUGGAACCUGACCGGGUAAUGCCGGCGUAGGGAGUAGUCGAAUCGCCAUGAC